GGCAAGAAGGAGCGAAGCAAGGUGCCUGUACGGCAGGCUCCGGCAGGGAGAGACGGUCUCGAUUUGUCUCUUUUUCAUCUGCGACUCCUCUUCAUCCCCCGGUCCGCCUCUCCCCCCCAUCAAGAAAGGGCGGGGGAAAGGCGGCUACAGGAGUGUCACAGGAAUGUCAAAGUGAAAUACAACUCAAUCUGUGUCGACAGAGGAUUCCGUUUAAUUAAACAGACAGCAUUUGAUCAUCGUACUCCCACCAUAGGGGCCUAAUCGCUGUACACUGCUUUAACCAGCCACAAACCCACCGGAUGAUAAAACUGAGCAGAAAAUGGGCAGGACGUUUGAAAGUGUUAUGCUGGGUUCACAUAGAAAGGGAACCACAAGUUUUGACGGUGAAUAAAAUGAACAUGCGAUCCGACUAUAAAAGGGGAGGGCCUCAUUUAAAUCCAUCCAAGCCGAUAACCACUGGGUAAAGGUUUAGGAUUUCAUCUACUGUCCUUUGAGCCUAGGUAUUGCUGGAAUCUUCCAUUGUCUGCCCUCACUGUGUAAACUCCAAAGCUUGUCUCUUUCCCCAACAAAAGUUGGUUCAAUACAAGAUAUUACCGCACCCACUUGUCAUGUACCUUCCGCCUUUAAUGGGAAUGAUGGGGCUUCAUAGCAAUUUACUUUUAUUGAUGUAAGUCAGAUCCCAUUUCCCAGAGGAAAUGAAUGCUCAGAUUACCUUAAAGGCACCAACUAAUUAAUGUUAUGUAAAGAAAAACUAUUUAUUGUACAUUGACAGCGUAUUAAGCGUAUUUUAGAGCCGAGGACCACCGCUAUAGACCACAAUGGGUCCGUGCGUAUUGUCGAAUCUUUGGUUUGUGGAUUAUUGACGACAAAGUUUGGAAGGGCUUCUAAGACACUUGUUGUCCAUUGGGUUACGCAUACCCCCAACUACAAAACAGUCGAUAUAACUCUUCGCUUUCCAAAAAAGAAAAGGAGUACUUGUGGCACCUGCACACAGACAACAAACGCGCGAAUUAAAGAAAUAAUGACUGGGGGGAAAGCAGCCCAAGUGCACUGUGCAGCAAAUGCUUUUCAAGCCCCAAUACCUGUCGUUUCCAAUUAAAAAAAAAAAAAGAAACCUCACCCACCCCCAAUAUACUCCAAUGACCUGCACUUUUCCCUUCUUUUCAAACUGAAAAAUGGCCAAACUAUCUUAAAGUUAAUUUAGGCGAUCAGGCUGGGAGGUGGAGGCGGGUGGUGGUGGUGGUGGGGAAGCACUCCGGGCUGCGAUCGCUGUGUCAAGCUUCAGCCACACCGACAUUUCUGGCAGACUUCCAAAGUCAAAGAAAUUGGAAAAUUGGGACGGGGGGUUGUUCAGGCAAACGGGUCAGACCCCUUGGCAGAGAUGCAGGAGCGAGCGGGCGCUGUACGAAAGGGAUGAAUCAGCCAAGCCAUCUGAGCGGAGCACAGGGCAUCUUCCGCAAUCCAUUCAUUCAGUGAAGCGCGUGAAAAGCUGCCGAUCGCUGCCAUUGUUACUCACAGGCGAUGUGGGAACCGGAGCCUCCACUCUGGCGAGAGAUAAAUAGUCUGUGACAGCGCCUCUUCGCAAAGAGAUCUCAUCGAAUUUCACCAGGCGGACGGUCACAGGUCUGUGUUCCUCUCUUUCAUGUGAGUCCCUUUACAUCGCCAUUCUCUCCCCUCCCGCGCCCUCUCCGUUGUGCCGACCCCCCCCCGAUCUCUUCAUCCCUCCCUUGAAUGUUUUCCGUCGGGGCUGGGAACGCUGUACAGUAUUUGCCUUCGGAGUGCUUGGCGUGCUGGAGUCAGGAUUGAACUAGGAAAUGCGGGGUUAAAAGGCUAACCCGGCACGGAGCCCUU